CAUGGGGUGCAAACGUUGCUCGGAAUCAUUGGGCGUAAAGCGCGCGUAGGCGGUUACUUAAGUCGAAUGUGAAAGCCCUCGGCUUAACCGAGGAAGUGCAUCCGAAACUGAGUAGCUAGAGUACGAAAGAGGGUCGCGGAAUUCCCGGUGUAGAGGUGAAAUUCGUAGAUAUCGGGAGGAACACCGGUGGCGAAGGCGGCGACCUGGGUCGAGACUGACGCUGAGGCGCGAAAGCGUGGGGAGCAAACAGGAUUAGAUACCCUGGUAGUCCACGCCGUAAACGAUGGGUGCUAGAUGUUUCUGGUAUUGACCCCGGAGGCGUCGUAGCUAACGCGUUAAGCACCCCGCCUGGGGAGUACGGCCGCAAGGCUA
rnacentral:rRNA from 1 species